UCACACAUUAUUUUAUUUUUGUCGUUUUGUUUGCAGGGUCCUGGAGUUUGCAGCAGCGAUCCUGCCAAUGUCUGCAGGUCUUGCGAACACAGCACUCAAGUUUUGCACUUGAAAUCGGCAUGCAACUUCAAAAUGCCAUGGAUGCCUGCCCACCUAUGUGGUCACUGGUUUUCUGCGCCCUAAUUUUGAAUACUCUCACAAGGACAACGUUGCAUUGAACCAUUUUUGAUCUCGUGGCUCAGUCAUUUGAUACCUUGGGAUUAAUUGUUUAGCCAUCCAUUCACAUCAGCAGGUCAAGGCCAAGUCACUAUGCUGUGCAGGAAUUCUGCCCACCAACUAGAAAUCUUGUCUAGCGGUGGUUACAACUAAUUACUGUGGAUGUCCCAUGAAAGUUGCACACAUUGAAUGCAAACUACUGAUGGCAACUGAGUUGCUGCUUGAGGCUUUUCAAGUACGUCUCUUCAGUAGUCAUUUGUGCUGCCUUGCAUAUGGCAUGCGUUAGUGACACCUGCUGGGGGUCAUGACUUGGUGGAUAUGGCAUUUUAAAGCUGAGCAUGAGUUUGUGGGGAUGACUCCUUUACGGGUUUGACUCCCCAAUGCAGGGACUACAUUCCGGCGAUGUGUAAUGCAAACACGCCCAUGCUCAUGUACUUUGAUUUAAGCUCUGGUUAAAACAUCGCCAGGUUUUCAAGCCCGUGACUGCACUCUCACUGACAGCCAAGGUGUUGCUUUGGACUGUUCAGCAGCAUCAGCAUUAUGAUUCACCUAGCAGUGUGGAAAGAGAUUAGGCUGAUAGGCAGUUAUCAAAGACCACCGGCUGUUUUAGUGACCUCGCUGCUCGUCUCUCAGGACAGUUUGUUGACUUGCAAGUUGACUCAACCUUUGAGCCGUGUUGCCACAGUGGCCUGUAGUUAUUACAUAAUGAUAAGACGACUUGAUAGUAUCCAUGUCACACAAGAAACACUGGUGUUUCCCCUGUCUGAAGCUCCACAGUUAAUGAGACCUUGGACUGUCCAUUAUAUUGGGAUAUAAGUUAUUAGGCUCAACAAAAGGAGAAUCCCAUCAUGGCCAGUUGUCGGAUGGCCUGUCGUUGGCCAGUUGGCCAGUUGCACAUGGCCUGUCGUUGCCACGUGUACUACCUGUUCUUCGGGGGGAGCAAAGGUGGCUUGGAGUGCACUGAACAAGAAAGAAGAAAUCCACGCUGGCUGCACUGCUUCCAUAAAUUCGCCAUGCAAAAGGGCACUGUCACUGUCAACUUGAGGUUGACAACGAAUCACAGACCUGGAUCUAUUUGUUGGUAUAUGUAGAAGUUCCACAAACGAGGCACAUGUGGCCAGUUGUCAGGGUUGCAUGGCCAAUCAUCGCCAUAUGCGCGCCCUAUUCUUUAAGGAAACAAGUCCAGUGAAGGGAAAAAGGAGAGCCACAGCCAAAUGCUGCAAGGAAUUCAGAAGCACAUUGUUGCCAACAGCUUGGGGUGGUCAAUGUGCUAUGGCGACAAAACUCUUUUAGUCCGCAGAAAAUAUUGUACUUAGCACAUCGCGAGAGUAAUUGCUUUCCAGAAGACGAGACUUUCCAUGACCACCAUGCCAAUGUCGCACAACAGACAAGUGGAAAACCGGUGACCAUUUUCUACAGUCGUGCAUGAGAGGGCGUUGCAGAUUUAUCAUCAUCAGCCUGUUAUGUCCACAUGAGAACGAAGGCCCCUCCCAGUGAUCUCCUAGGUGACUCCUCUACACAUGUCUUCGCCAUGCUGCUUUCAAGGUACACUGCAGAAAACUGCCCUUCUGCACACCGAUGCUUAAGGCUUGACAUAGUCCAUCUCUCUCAACCUUGUUGUGGUCAAGGCAUACCAAAGAGGACUACCCUUUGGUGCACCAAGGCAUGGGUUUCGACAUUCUGACUCCUCUACACCAUCUGUCCUUGCCAUGCUGUUUUCAAGGCGCACCGCUGAAGACAGCUCUUCUGCACACCGAGAUGUAGGGCUUGACAUGGUCCAUCUCUCUCGGCCAUGCUGUGGUCAAGGCACACUGCAGAAGACUGCAUUUCAGGCACCAAGACAUGGGGUUUGGCAUGGUGACUCCUCUACACCAUCUCUUUGCCAUGCUUCUUUCAAAGUACGCCGCAGAAGACAGCUCUUCAACACACCAAUGCAACGUAGGGCUUGACAUGGUCCAUCUCUCUCGGCCAUGCUGCGAUUAUGGCACACUGCAGAGGACUGUCUUUUGGCACACCGACAAGACGUGAGGCUUGACAUUGUCCAUCUCUCUUGGCUAUGCUGCGGUUAAGGGGGACGUGACUUUUGCAUUGCGAAAAAAUUCAAAUUUCACACUGCAAAUUUUUAAAAAUCACAUUUUGAAUUUAUAACUCUUUUUCUAUUUUAUUUCGAAAUAUCUUCCCUAAAUACCAUGUAGAAGUGCUCUAAAAAAUUUUUAUCACCACAGAUGGCGAAAACUUUUGUGGAAAUGACCGAAAAGCAGUGUUUUUCAAGCCACAAUCUCCGGAAUAGCGCAACCGAGUGCCGCCAUCAUGGUCUCAUGAGAAAUUGCAUUUCUCGGUCUUCAAGUUUGCCGUGUCAGCUAUCUACUCCAGACAUAAACAAGUGCCCAAAGCAAAUGAUUGAAGGUCAUUCUGAAGUUGCCGAUUGGCUGUGGCCUGCCACGUGACUCCAGCGUGCUUUGUCAUUGGUCUGGUGCCCACUCCGAAGGUCGUCUGCUCUUGCCACUUCAUGAGUUAACGUCUCGACCACCGUAAUCACAAGUGUCAAAACGGGCACUUUGCAUACAUCGCAGAAGUGUGGCCGAUCCCUCUGUUUCUGGAUGUCUCACAGUAGCAGGUAAGCAUUCUGAGCAUCGGUGACUUGGACUUCGCGACCAAGGUUCGUGCGCGUAAUCCUCGGACACUGCUAAGCCUUUUAAGCAUCGGUGCUUUGGAAUUCGCGACCAAACAUUUCGCGCUUUGGCACCUUCGAUUUCGCAAUCAGGCACAUUGCCAAUGUGCAGACCCCUCAGACCUGCAACCAUGCACAUAGCGCAUGUACUCUUUGGACCCACGACUAAGCAUCUCGCAAAUCAGUGCUUCGAACUCUGCGAUUAAGCACAUCACGCACGGACUCCUCGAACCCACGGCUAGGCAUUUCGUGCAUUGGCACGGACUGUGCGACUAUAGUGCAUCGAGCGUUCACUCUUCGGACCCGCAGCUAGGCAUUUUAUGCAUCAGCUCCUUGGACCAGUACUAGGCGUUCCGCGCGUCAGCACCUCAGACCCGCAACCAAGCACAUCACGCAUCGACUUUUUUAUCAUAUGAUCACAAUAUUUUGUAACUAUCUAUCAUACCAUCCCUAUAGUGAAAACCUCAUCAUCAGCUCUGUUCACAAGGCCCCUUGAGCUCAUGCACACACGGGCUGUAGAAGUGAGCAAUCACACAAAAGUACAAGCUGGAAAAGCACUUAGCAGCUGCAUUGCUGCCUAUCAGUGACUCUGAUCCUAAGCUUCACAGCCAUUGUCAAGGAAAACAACUCGGAAGGCUGUUGAAAGCUUUCUUUCAUUCAUUGAUAUAGUCUAUUCUACCAAAAGAAAAAAAUGCUUCACUGAUUAUAUUGGAGACUGUUAUGAAUGAGGCAGUCUACAGGUACGACACUGGAGCUAUAUUCUUGCCCACACGAAGUUCUGCGCCUUGCUGGGUUUGAAACCCAGGCAACAUGCUGAGCAGCAGUAAAGAUUGCAGUACGGAAAAGGGGGGGGGGAUGAAGCCACACAAAACUAGAGGUCACAUGUCCAAGAAGCCCUGCAUCACAAAACAAGCCAAAUAUACAAAUUUUCUGUCUUUUAGAAAACAGAAGAGAAAGUGAAACUGAGCGACGUUUUCUCCAAAGCUUUUUCUUUUUUCCUUUCUGCUCAGGCUUUUGGAGCUGACUUCUAACAAACUGUGAGGCCUAUUUUGACUGGUUUUGUCAUGUUCCUUGGGCUACAGUGUAGGUCGCGACAUUCUUGCUUUCUUACCUUGACUUCUUUCUAAAUUUAUGAUGUGGCUCUUUGUUCACCUCAUAAGUACCUGAUGCGAAGGUAGCGUAAAGAAUGACAAUCUAAACAUUUUGUUUUGUGAAAAAAAGAAAAAUGUAGUGCCCUUAAGCAUACAUUUAGAUAUGCAGUCAAUGUUUAGCAAGCCUUGCUUCGCAUUCUUUAAGCUACCUAGGCCCUCCACGAAGUGCAAAGGAGAAUAGAUUUUGAAUAAUCUGUUCUCAAGAUAUCUCUCUGAAACAUUUAUGGGAGCAUCGGGGAGGCAUUCUCGAUAUCUGUGCCAAUUUUCAUCAACAUCCAUUAUGGAAUAAGAAAGUUGGUUCUCAAAGCCACGUCCCCCCGUUAGAACACUUCGCUGAGAACUGCCCGGUGCACCAAGACAUGGGGUUCGAAAUGGUGACUCCUUCAAACCAUCCAUUUUCACCAUACACUUUCAAGGCACACCACAGAAGACUGUGCACCAACAAGGUGUAGGGCUUGACAUGGUCCAUCUCUCUCGACCUUGUGUUCAAGGCACACCGCAGAGGACUGCGCUUAGAUGCACCGGCAAGGUGUCGGGCUUGACAUUGUCCAUCUCUCUCAGCCACACUGUGGUCAAGGCUCACUGCAAAGGACUGCCGUUAGGGCCAUGAAGACAGGGUAUCACAGGGUGACUCCUCUAAACCACCUGUCUUCGCCAUGCAGCUUUCAAGGCACAUCGCAGUACACUGCCCUUCUGCCCACCAAGAUGAAGGGCAUGACGGGGACCAUCUCUCAGCCAUGCCGUGGUUAAGGUGCACUGCAGAGGACCCCCGUUCGAUGCACCAAAACAGCGGUUUGAUAUUUUUACUCCUCUACACCAUCUGUCUGCCAUGCUGCUUUCAACGCACACUGUAGGAGACUGCUCUUCUGGACACUGAGACCAAGGGUUUGACAUGGUCGAUCUCUCUCAGCCAUGCUGUGGUUAUGGCACACCACAAAGACCUGCCCUUCGAUGCACUGACAAGACGUAGGGCUUGACAUAGUCCAUCUCUCUGUCAUGCUGUGGUCAAGGCACACAGCAGAGUACUACUCUUUGGCGCGCCAAGGCAUAGGGUUUGACAUGGCGAUUCCUCACACCAUCUGUCUUCGGCAUGCUGCAUUCAAGGCAGACCACAAAAGACUGCUUUCUGCGCAUUGACGAAGUAGGGCUUGACCUGGUCCAUCUCUCGGCCAUGCUGUGGUUAAGGCGCACCACAGAGGACUACCCUUGGGCGCCAUGACAUAGUAUUUGACAUGGUGACUCUUCUACACUACCUGUCCUUGCCUUGCCGCUUUCAAAUCGCACUGCAAGUGAUGGUCCUUCUGCACACCGACAAGAUGUAGGACUUGAUAUGGUCCAUCUCUCUCGACCAUGCUGUGGUCGAGGCACACCACAGAGGACUUCCCUUUGUCACAUUGAUGAGAUGUAGGACAUGACAUGGUCCAUAUCUCUCGGCCAUGUUGCUUUCAAGGUACGCUGCAGAAGACAGCCGUUCUGCACAUCGACAACGUAGGGCUUCACAUGGUCCAUCUCUCUCGGCCACGCAAUGGUCAAGGCACACUGCAGAGGACUGCCUUUCGGCGCACCAGAACAUAGGGUUUGACAUUCCGACUACUCUACACCCUCUGUCCUCACCAUGCUGCUUUCAAGGCACACUGCAGAAAACAGCCCUUCUGCGCACCGACGUAGAACUUGACAUGAUCCAUCUCUCUUAGCCAUGCUGUGGUUAAGGUGUGCCACAGAGGACUAGCCUUGGGCGCCAUGACAUAGUAUAUGACGUGGUGACUCUUCUACACUAUUUGUCUUUGACUUGCUGCUUUCAAAUCACACUGCAAGAGAUGGUCCUUCUGCACGCUGACUAAAUGUAGGACUUGACAUGGUCCAACUCUUCUGACCAUGCUGUGGUCAAGGCACACCACAGAGGAUUUCCCUUUGGUGCAUUGACAUUGUGUAGGACUUGAUCUGGGCCAUACCUCUCGGCCAUGCUGUGGUCUAGGCACACCGCAGAAGACUGCCCUUCUGCACAUCAACAAGACAUAGGGCUUGAUGUGGUCCAUCUUGGCCAUGCAGCGGUCAAAGCACGCCGCAGAGGACUGCCCUUCGUCUUACCAAGACACGGGGUUUGAAGUUCUGACUCCUCUACACCCUCUAUCCACGCCAUGCUGCUUUCAAGGCACACCGUAGAAGACAGCCCUUCUGCGCAUUAAGAUAUAAGGCUUGUUGGUAUGGCAUUUUUAGAAAAAAAGGUUCCUUUCGUGCAGGUUCGUGGGAAAGAAGAAAGGAUACACACUACAGCACGAGACUGAUUUGGUACAUCUCUCUUGGCCAUGCUGCAGUCAAGGCACCAUAAGACUGCCCUUAGGCACACCAAGACAUAGGGUUCAACUUGGUAGCUUCUCUGCACCAGGGAGAGUUUUAGAGCCUGAUAUUAAAACCAUUAUGCCACGGAUGCAUGGACAAGCGGAACCACUGCAAUUAGCAGCAAUUAUGCGUGUUCUGCACUAAAAACAAAAGUGUAGAUUGCUUCGCAAUUUAGGUCAGGAACGGCCCAUAAAGCGUAAUAAAUGAACCCACGAGAACGUCUCAAGCCACAAGUAUGAAAAUCAAUCACAUUCGUGCACCAUCAUUCCCAUGGUGGCUGAACGAUUGCAGCACCGGAGUUCCCUCUAGUAACUAUUGUAGGAAACUACUCUGCAGCAUGUCUCUUGAGUUUGCUUCUGUCAAGACAUACCAUGGAGGACUGCUCUUAUUCAGAGACUGCCUAGACAAAAGACUUGUUGAAGUGGCCCCUCUGCAUUUCCGAUGCUACUGGCAUCCCGAGCUUUUUUGAUGCUGUGUAAUCCAGAAAGAUUGGUCAGUGUUGCUGAGCAAUGCUAAUUGCUAUUUCUUAACAAGGCAAGAAUUUUUGUGAAGGCCCACUGAAAGUCUUAAAGGGUCUUUCACUAGGAAUGGGCAUUACAGAUAAAAAGCACGGCGUGUAGAUUACGCCUUGGCGAUUAUUUAGAAAACCGUGAAACGACUGCGAGGCAAGAAAAUGGUCGAAAUUUCAAACAGAAAUCCUGCAUUCCCUUUUGAGGGAGUCGAGGUCACGCCCACGAAUGCUUCUGCGCAAGACGCACUGCUUGUAAUAUCGCCGACCAUGGCACGUGACUGUGGUUAAUCACCCAAUGCUUGUAACACCAAUGCCACCACUGGAAGUGUAUCGCGUAGCAAAAUGGAAGCGAAGAAAAUAGAGGUGGGGCUCGUGACGUGAUUGUGACCUGGUCCGUCAGCUUUGGUCUGGGGAAGACUGAAAGGGAACGCAGCUUGUGGACACUUGUUGAGGCAAAGGGGGGGAGUGUUCUUGUUGACAGUGACGCUUGUUUCCUGGCGGCAUGGUAACAGGACAGUAAAUUUCUUCACUCCCCUGCAAUGAUGAACCAAUUUGGAAAAUCAUUUUGGUGAAACGAUCCCUAGACAGGGCCUUCCAACAUUCACUGCAUAACCAAAAUUUGCAGUGGGCUCUUGUGAGUGUGAGGGUGGUAAGUCCUACCCGAAACACAGGUAUCUGAUCCUCGGGCGAGGGCGUGACUAUAACAACAAUGGCAUGACUGCUCAUGCAUUGCGUACCUUGUAUCAAAUUCUAGGUGGGGACAGAUACUACUCUAAACCACGCUGAUGCUUUGCUGUAAGCGCACAGAGCUGUAGAGGCUAAAUGCCUCUGUUGAGGCAGAGGCAUGUUGCAACUGCAAAUAGUCUCGCAGAUUUGCAUGAGCGUGCUGCUCAUGCAUAUUUGUGCAUAUUUGCUCAGUGUUGCUUGCGGUCCUUAUUUUCUAGCAGCUAACGUUUACCAUGUGCUAACCAUUCACAACAUGAAGCAGUGCUUGGUUGUGCUAAUCCUUGGGCUCGCCUAUGUACAAAUACUAAAAUUCGAUCAUUGUUGAAUGACAGAUUUUUUUUGCAAUUGGAGUGUUAGCAAAUGGAAAUGGUGACACAAAUUUUCUCUUUGGUUCAUGCUGUUCUCUGGUGACUGGGUGCUGGAUUGCCCUUGUGGCACUGAUUUUCUAUAUUGCCUGGGGAAUACUGAAGCGCGCACAUAAUUGUGUACUUUCACAAUCGAAAGCCAUUAAAUUUAGCAUCUUUAAAACCUUUAUUUUUCUUUGCUGUGACAAAUAUGAUUCGCCAGUCUUUCGACACCACUAAAUGGCAGCUUAUGUUCAUUGGUAUACCUGCCUUGAAGAACAGUGUGUCACUGCUUGCCUCCUCAGGGAAUUCAAAUAAUACUGUACUAGACACUUCACCAGUAGACCAGUUCUGAAUGGCCCUGGAACGCUGCUUGCCCACUUGAGGGGAUGUUUUCAUCGGGAGUGUCAAGUGUGGGAAGCCAGUCAAGAGGUAGUCUUGCUCCAGACCACUGUCAGUGAUGUUCUGUGCAGGGAAUUUUCCCUUUUGCAAGGAAUUUUCAGCCACAAUUUUGGAUGAAAGGGAAAAAAAUGGAAUCUUUGCAACAUUGCAGGGAAUUGUAGGAUUGAUGAAGUUAAUAUUAUAAUUAUCCCUUUGAGUAGCAUCACAUUGACAAUCUACUGCACAUCCUUUUCAGUGCACAGGCCGAACUUGCAGUCAAUCAGUUUCAAGUUCUAAUAGUCUUUGUUGUUGAAAAGCAACCGUACUGUUAGGUACGAAAUGUGAACUGCAGUUUGCUGCAUCAAUAUUCGAUAAGGAUACCUAUUCAGAAUAUCUAAAGAGACAGUGAGCCAGCAGUGGCGGUUGAUGCUAGAGCUCUGUCUACGGGCAAGAUAUGUCGGGAACUGACCUUAGAAAUUGAGUUCUCAAUGUAUUGUGUCCAAUCGAGACAGACAUUGAAUAAACCAUAAUGUUUUGAACACGAGUUCACAGACAGCUGCCAAGACACCUUCUCACAUACACACACACUUAACCUAUGUGUGUGUGUAGGUGUAGUUAAAUGUUUUGUGAUAUUUUUUAAAUAAUGCAGGAAAUAUUGUUGCAAAUAAGGAGUUUUCGUGCUUAGGAAUGGGAAUUGCGCAAAGUACAGAACAUCACUGCCGUCAGCUGCACUUCAUCCCUCAAAGAGGCAGGACGUGUGUCGAGUGAGCUACUGAACAACAUUUUGCAAUGUGGUGAACACAGUUUAAAUCGUGCAUCCGGGACCUCAAGGAGAUGCGAUGUAAUGCUAAUGCAUUUACCGCUACAUUUUGUAGCAGUGUCUUUUCAGACGCUAAUCCCUGUUUGUGCUUUUCGUGCUUCGUCAGUGGUCAGAGCGACACUCCCCUAGCAUUAUCAACAGGUGCAGCCAGCCCUUAGCAGUGGAUGAUAAGACUGGCAAGAAUCGAGCAGAAGGCAUAGCAAGAAAAUAGCAGCACAGCUGUCCUGUCCUUCGUCAGUAGAUUGGCUUGGACAGCAAUGGACAGUUACCUUUGUCAACAUAUUAGUCUUGUAUAGCAGCGCAAAGCUAUGUUCCUCUAUCAGUGGGUCAAUCUUGGGCAACACUGGAUGACUGCUCGCAUUAAUCAGCGGAUGAAUCCUGGAUAUCGUUGGUCCACACUAUGCUUUCGUCGACAGACCAAAGAUUGGCAAUGCUGGAUCACUGGGGUGACCAUGUCAGUUUGCAGCCACACGGAGCUCAUUUUGGCUGUAGUAACAAAUGGGCACACCAGUGUUGAUUUACGCAGGAAUGUUAUAAGGUUAUUGCUUUUGUGGUGUUUAUCUUUGGCAAGAAAUCAAUGUUAAACCAUGCUAAAUCCAUCAGAAGUGCUGUCCUGGACAACAUAGGAUCACUGCUUGGCCUCACCACUAGGUACAUCCUGGGCAACACUGUUGAGUGAUUGCCAUGAUCAGUGGCUCACUCCUGGACAAUGCUGGGUCACUGUAUUUUUUUCACCGAUGGAUCACACUUGGGCAACUCUGUACGUGUGAGUGCCUGCCUUUAUCAGACCAGUCUUGGACAGUUCCGGAUGGCUGUUUUUAUUGCCUUAUAAAUCGGCCUAUAACAACACUGGACCAUGGCUUGCUUUCAACGCUUGAUGAACCUUGACACUGGAUCACGGCUUGACUUCUUCGGUAGAUAAGCCUUUGAUAAAAAGGUGAAUGACUGCUCGCCUUUGCCAACGAAUCAUCUUGGACAAGCUGGAUCACUGCUGGCCUUUAGCAGUGGACAUGUUAUGGGUUUGACAUCUUGGUCGCUACUUGCUUUCAGCACUGUCACCCUUUGGCUGCACUGGAUACUACCUUAGUCAACAGAUAUAUUGGACAAUGCUUAGUCAUUGCUCACCCUUGUCAGUGGAUCUCUCUUGGGCAACACUGGAUUGCCGGUUUACUUAUCAAUGGAUGUCUUGCAUAACACAUGGUCAGUGCAUUUGCCUUUGAUGACGCUGGAUCACUAUAGGGCUUUAUCAGUGGAUCGUCUUGAACAGCACUGGAUGUCUCCUUGCCUCAAAACCGCCUGAACACUACUGGACGAUUGCAUGUGUGCAUCAGUGGAUAAGUCUUGCCUCUGAAUCAUAGCUUUAUUGACAUGUCAGCUUUAGGCACUACUGUACUGCACCUUGCCUUUGACAGACCAGUCUUGGUCAGUGCUAAGUGACUGCCUUUUCAGUGGGUCACUCGUGGACAAUCCUGAACCACUGCUUGCCAGUGACAGCCCUGGAUAAGUCGCUGCUGGGCCAACAUACCACUCUUGGAUACUUGUAUUAUUGCUGCUGUCAUCAAUAGAUAUGUCUCGGACAACAGCGGAUCACAGCGUGCCUUCACAGCAUACCCGUCUCGGAAAAUACUGGUUUGACAUGACUGGCCUUGGUCAACGCUAGAUUUUAGCUUGCGUGCAAGAGUGUGCAUUGGGCUGGGUGCCUGCCUGAUGUCGUCAGUGGAUCACUCUUGAGCAACACUGGAUGUCUGCCUGCCUUCACCAAUCGAUUCGUCUUAACAGUGGAUCUUUCUUGAGCAACAAUAUGUCUUGCUUUCAUCAAUGGACUAUUCUUUGACAGUGAAAGAUAACUACUUGCCUUCACAAGGAAGUCUUGGUUACCUGUGCCACACACUUUUUUUUGGAGGACAGAAGUUUACCGUAACAUAGAACUUCUGUGUUCAUUGAAGACCAAAUAAUUUCUUUGUCGGGGAAUAAUGUUCGAAUUUUCUUUUCUGCGAAGUGUGUUUCACCAUGCUGUACUUCAUCGCAAAGUUAAAUUGUUAAAACUUCUGGAAGUUCUCCUUCGGAAAGGUUACUAAUGCAGUACAUUUUUGCAAUGGGAGCAUCUCAUUUGUUCGCACCAUAGUGCUUAGGUGACACGGACAAGGAAGAACGACCAGGACAGAUGCCCAUCCUUGUUGUUCUUCCUUGUCCACCUCACCUAAGUGCUAUGGUGCGAAUAACUAUCAAACCGACUAUCCCAAAAGUCUGUAAUCUGAGAGCAUCUCAUGUCUAUAAAGGGACAUGAAAGAAAAGCAUGAAAUCAGAUAAGAGUGGUAAAGUGUUCUUUGAAAACUUUAUUUUCAUUAAAUUUUUUGUUAACAGGUUAGAAGAGAAAAUGAAUUCAGGUCACAGUUUAAACCCUUUGAGGGUCAGUUUUUUGUGCAAAGUGUAGCCCCCAGAAUCCAAUUUCUUUUUUUGCAGAUUUAAAAUCUUCAGGCUGACCAAUUUCGAAAAAAUAUGACUGAAAUUUUUUUUUAGAGCAACCAUAAAGUGACGGAAAAAAGAUUUACGUGGGUAAACAUGCAUUGCUUACUCAUGAAUACAGGAGAGCUUCGAUAAAUAAUUUAAAAUAAAAAUAAAUAGAUACACUGAAAUAUAUUCUUAUUUGGCACUUGGGUAGUAGUCCGCAUCGGGAGAAUCGGCGCUUGACUCGCAGCAAAGCAACCAGUGCACACGUCCGUAGCAUAAUCGAACCGUGUAUGCGAGCACACGCAAGGAAACUAUGGUUGUGCACCCGCAAGAAAAACCAAAUGAGUCGGAAGCCUGCAGUAAUCCUUCAUUCCGUUGCCAGUGAGGGGCAAUCUGUUUUUACGUGCCGAGUCUUGAGAAAAAAAAACACGGGCAUGGCAGCAUUGUUUGUAUACGGCAACAUCUUUUGUGUAUGUCAGCGCCCGCCUGUGAACAGAUGUAAUCGCAUCCCUGUGAGCAACCGACGAGCUGACAUCUAGCGGUGACUCUUUGAGAGAUUAAAACCCCGAUAGACCAGUUCUUAUGAGCGCAACGAACGGAAACGGCUCGUGAGACGAAACCAAAACUAACCGCUGCACACCCUCGCACGCUAAGUCCAAGCAAAGCAGGAGGUAAAUCCACAAUGCAGAUGGAUUCUCCUUUCAACUGAAGGUUUCCUCAAGUCUGGGAAAGUCGGGGCUGCCAGCAAUGUGCUGACAGAACAGGUCGACGUUUGCUCUGGCAUUGGGAUCGAUGCGUCUGUUCAGGAGUUUGCUGCCACAAAGAUAGACCAUUUCAUUGUCAGCAAUGGAUCAUUUCAGCCCCACCCCUCUCAAAGUGGAAACCAAGUAAACUUUAAAUGGAACCUGCAAGGAGCCCUUGCAUCUAGCGAAACUAUAGAAACUUGUAGCGGCGCUAUCUUCAAUCGCAGCGCCGCCGACAAGGAAGACAAGUCACGAACGCAGAGCGCGGAGCAGAAGACAAUCCAGCAUGGGGCCAGGGCUGCUGGUAUGCCUGUGGCCACGGCCAUCGACAAAGGCAACCUCCGUGAACCAGCAUUCGUUCAGACGCGACCUGAUGGAAGGCACCCCGCGGUCACCCAAAGGCAGAGACCGGGGAGUGAUAAAUGUUGUCCACCCAAAGCUGGCCAACAUGGGAACUGAGCUUGGGACCUUUCACGCAUUGGAGGCAAGAUGCAUAUUCCUUUCACUAGCCAUAACAAUCACGUUUGCCCAGGUUGGAUGGCCAUGACAGCUGGGGUAAGACAGUGACAGUGCUACAAUAGGUCAAGCAAGUUUCUGAAAACUGGUGAAAUGAGGAUUUGGGCACACUGGUUAGGUUCUCUUCAUUCAGCUGUGUGAGAAUGCGUUCCUUGAUGUGGCAUUAUUUCCAUGGCUGAAGGAUGGGUCAAUGAAUGAGCGAAGGGAUUGCGAAUUGCAACUGGGCAGUGAUGAAAGUGCUGCACCAAUCGCGCCAGACUGGGCCGUGAAGGAAAUGCUGCUACAUGCUUAUGUUUAUCGCAGGUAUUGCGUGAGGCCUGCACCUACACGCACCUACUCUGAAUAUCUGAAUAAUUGGGCAGAGAAAAAAAAAGAAAGUUUUGCAAAAAGAAAGCAAAGAAUCACUGUUGUUGCUUUUUACGUUGCUAGUGGUACGAAAAAUAAGCCUAAUUUUGCUGUGUUGUGCUUCAUUGAAAUAGUGUCUAAGUUAAGUAACGCGAUGGUUGAUGCAGCAGGGGCACUUCACAUGCACCUCUCGCUAGUCCGUCAUGCAGCCUGAUGUGCAUCUCACACAAUUUCUUUGUUUGGAGCUUUCCGUCUACACCGUUCCCUCUAGUAAACGCGCAAGCAUAAUUUAGAUGCGUUGGCGGUAGUUCCCGGCGGAUUGCCCAUGGACCCGAUCUCCGCUACUGUAGCCGCCAGUUUGGCCCGUGUGCCUGAUCUCGCGUCACGUUGCUGAAGCUAGUGGCCAUGUCAGCUCGCCAAAGCUUUGCACUCACCACAGAGUAUCAUCACAUGGCCGUGUCAUGCGCCCCCACGAUUAGACUAAAGGAAGACACGUGCUCCCUCCAACUCCUCUCUUAGCGUGCCCUCGCCUGCCUGCUCACCCCCUCUGCGCGUGCAAAGACUCCGAGCAUCAAGCCACCCUCCUUCUCGACUCACCCUUGCACGCUUUCCCUCGCCACUACAGCAUUAUAGCCCAGAGCCACAAUUCUGUGACCCUUGGACUUUGUACGGAACCUCACGGCAACUUUGACAACGAUGGAAGUUCACCUGGACUAUUCGUAUAAUUGCUAUAGUUAUGAAUAAUUAUUUUAUGUGAUUGUGGUGACGCAUGAUGCACAGCUGUUCGAUGCACCUUUUUCGCAGUCGCUCAACGGUGUACCAACAUGCGUUAAGUGCAUCUUAUUACUGUUAGGCAGCUUGGAUGGGGAAAAAAAAUUGGCAAAACGGGACAAGGAAGUAAACACUGGCCACACAACACAAAAGCUACUCCAUCUGUACCUGCGAGGGCAAUAGAAAUGGCAUCCGUGUUUAUGUUCUAUCUCGAUUUGGGCUUUUUAGCUGGGCUUCUGAUCAGCUAUGAAAUUGCUCGGCUAGUAAUUUCAAUUGUACUGAUAGUGUCAAUAUAUAGCAGCCACCGAAUCCUUUUAAUAAUGCUGGCAUCAGCGCCUUGCAGAGGGACAGACAUGUUGCUGUGAAUGGAAUAACCUGGAAGGCCAUAUGCUGUGACUAGCAGAAGCUCAUCCUUGCGCAUAAUACGGUGCUUGCGCAAUAUUAUUAAAUAAUCGGGUGGUUAUACAUAUUCAACUUGUUAAGCGGAUGAAACGUUUUAACAGAUGAAAUGGAUAAUGAAGCCAAGGGCAGCUUGGAGGGAAUUAACUCCUUAUUGAAAUGCAGAAUUAACUGGGAAUUAGGGUUAUAUCUGCAUGUGUCUCCAUCUUAUAUAACAAAAAAAAAAAUGGACGAGCAAGUUGAAGAAAAACUUUGAUCUUAGUAUAAUGCAUAAUGAAUGCAAGGUUUUGGAAAGUACCAACUUGUAUAUAGACUUCCUCUUUCGCACCAGAGCAGUACGUUACUGCUCCAAAGCAUUGUAUUUUUGCUCCGAAAGCGUAUAUUUCUGCUCUGAACUGUGAUUCUUUCUGCUCCAAAAGCUGCUCCAGAAGACCAAAUUCCGCUUUCAUCACUGUGACUGGGAAACAGCCUGCCCCUGUUGAUGUGGUAGCGGAGUUCGCUGCGGUCUGAGCAGCAGGCUUAAACUGUGUGCCAGGAGUUCAGGAAAGUUACACGGCUCCCGAGGAAUGAAAAUUGCAUGCAGGCAAAUGCCAUUGCUCCCUCGAAGCAAUGUGUAUUUAACACCCUAAACUUCAACAAAGAAAGAGUAGGCCAUCUUAUUGACCAUAAAUUUGAAUGAGCCGUUGUGCAAAUCCCAACGGAAAAGAUGGAACAGUGUCCGUUAAAAAACACUGGGAUGGUUACCAAGCUUGUCAUCCCUUUCUUGAAUAACUUGGACGGUAACAAGUACGUGGUGCUGAAGUUGCGGAAAAUUGGAUCUUGUAAGAAGGUGAUUGUGUGAACUGGCUUGGACAGUGACAAGGUGCGCUAAGACGUGUUGGCAAUGUGCGCAGACACAGCUUUCUUUGGACAAUGGCACAUAUGCUCUGCUGUAAGAGUUACUCAUCGGUUAAACAAGAGAAGGGACACUUGAGUGUGUCGCUUCUGUGCUCAGUGGUUCGCUGUGUGCUCAUGCAAUAACGUCAUUGCCAUCUGUUUCAAGAGUAGAAACGGAAAUGGCGCGAACUCAGAUGCUACAUUAAUCUUGACGGUGCGACGCCUGGUGUGCCACAGCGAAAGCUCAUAUUGCUACGCCUGUAAAGAAGACACGCUGCAAACGUGCAUAGCGAGAACUGCGGCAUCGAAGCGCAAGGGCACGAACGCGGUGAUUCUCUUCUCCACCUCCAGGCACCUUCCUCCUCCAGUGCUCGCUUCCCUCACGGCGACAAACAUAAUCUCGGCAAUUUGACAGACGGGGCAUCUACACUUGCACUUAAAGGGAAGCGAGAACUGCUGGUACAUGUGCACAAUGGGCUUGAGAGCUGGGCCAAUGCGGUGGCGAAGUACCGGCAUCAUUUCACACAAGCUUUCGACGUCUUACUGGAAUUUCGGAACCACACAUGCCCUGGCCAUGAUCCUUGGUCAUGCACCUUGAAGUUGGAAGAAAA